UUGGACACGGUUUGAUUGGACACAGUUCGAUUGCGCACCGUACGAUUGCACACCGUUCAAUUGCACAAUCGAACUAUAUCCAAUCGUAUUGUGUCCAAUCGAACGGUAUCCAAUCGAACAGUGUCCAAUCGAACAGUAUUCAAUCGAACGGUGUCCAAUCAAACGGUGUCCAAUUGAACGGUGCGCAAUUGAACGGUGUGCAAUGUUUCGUGUCUAAUAGCACGGUGGGUAAUUGCAACGUGUCCAAUUGUACUGUGCGCAAAUGAAGGCCUUUCUGCGGGGGAUACUCGUAGGCGCGAGGAGGUAAUUAAAGGUGGAGUUUGCAGUCAUGACUGUAUAAUAAUUCUCCUGCGACUUGAGUAUUAAGCCAACAGGAAUCGUAAAUUGUGUCCCGGUAUAUCUCUACGCUUGGUUGUGGAUGACUGUCCUGGUGGAUUUAUUAUCUUCUUUUAUGUGGCGGUUUUGGCUGCGGGAUUUUACUGAAAACAGGCGUUGAUGGACUGUUUGGAUUGGUUGAGAAGCGAAGUGAUGAAGGACAACAUGAGCACCUGCAUGUGCGCUUCUACUGGCGCCUCCACAGUAACAUGUAUGAAGACUAGAACCAGGAGAUCGAACUAAACCUGAUUUUGCCUUCAAAAGUGAGGCGAAAAUCUGUUAGAAAUGUAGUACCAAAUGGUGGCGCUGGCGAUAGUGAUUUGUGGCAGCCCUUGCGAUUUAUUCUCCAUUUUUAGUUAUUUUCUAUUUUUUUGUGCAUUUACACUUUAUUUAUUUGUUAUCAAACUAAUUUCAAGCAAUUUAUGUUUCUUAGAUACUUAAAAAAAGAAUGUUUAUUAAAAAAAAGAAAUUCAUUCAUUCAUUUGUAAGCUUGAUAUUAGUAAACACGUAUUACUUUACAAAGUCUUUUUAUUUCAUAAAUAUAAGACACUGAUCUCAUUAAAGUGGAUAUGGCAUAGGACAAAAUAAGUGUGACCAAUUGAAGGUUGUAGUCUCUGUACACAAUAUGGCGGUGUAUACGAAUACGAACACAGUUUACUGUGACGAUGAUACAAAAUUCCACGUGUAAUUAAUUAUCUAUAGACGUAGAUGUGUAGCAGUUUUAUCCAAAAUAUUACUUUUUUUAUAAUAGAAAUAGUAAAAUAGUAAAAUAGUGAGAUUCCAAAAUUAAAAAAUGUGUUUAUUGUGGAAAAGGAAGUAAAAAUAAACAAUGAACGUUUCAUAGAUUCCCAAACAAGGAAAAAUAUUCACAAUUAUUUGAAAAAUGGAUUAAAAUAUGAACCUGGAUUCAAAUAUGUACCUCAUAAGUACAUAAGGAUUUGUUGAAUAUACAUUUUUAUUAUGUUGCUUUAAAUUACAAAUUUAAGUUUUAAGUGAUAUGUUUGUUUUGAAUUCAUAUAUUUUAUGUUAUAAAAUAUAUUUAUAAUGUAACAUUAUUGUCAUUAUGUUUAAAUAGCACAGCAUGUGACUUGCAAAGUUUAAUAAAGCACGCAAAAUAACA